rnacentral:rRNA from 1 species
UUAAGCGACUAAGCGUACACGGUGGAUGCCCUGGCAGUCAGAGGCGAUGAAGGACGUGCUAAUCUGCGAAAAGCGUCGGUAAGGUGAUAUGAACCGUUAUAACCGGCGAUGUCCGAAUGGGGAAACCCAGUGCAAUUCGUUGCACUAUCGUUAACUGAAUACAUAGGUUAACGAGGCGAACCGGGGGAACUGAAACAUCUAAGUACCCCGAGGAAAAGAAAUCAACCGAGAUUCCCCCAGUAGCGGCGAGCGAACGGGGAGCAGCCCAGAGUCUGAAUCAGCUUGUGUGUUAGUGGAACGGUCUGGAAAGUCCGACGGUACAGGGUGAUAGUCCCGUACACCAAAAUGCACAGGUUGUGAACUCGAAGAGUAGGGCGGGACACGUGGUAUCCUGUCUGAAUAUGGGGGGACCAUCCUCCAAGGCUAAAUACUCCUGACUGACCGAUAGUGAACCAGUACCGUGAGGGAAAGGCGAAAAGAACCCCGGCGAGGGGAGUGAAAAAGAACCUGAAACCGUGUACGUACAAGCAGUGGGAGCACCUUCGGGUGUGACUGCGUACCUUUUGUAUAAUGGGUCAGCGACUUAUAUUCUGUAGCAAGGUUAACCGUAUAGGGGAGCCGCAGGGAAACCGAGUCUUAACUGGGCGUUAAGUUGCAGGGUAUAGACCCGAAACCCGGUGAUCUAGCCAUGGGCAGGUUGAAGGUUGGGUAACACUAACUGGAGGACCGAACCGACUAAUGUUGAAAAAUUAGCGGAUGACUUGUGGCUGGGGGUGAAAGGCCAAUCAAACCGGGAGAUAGCUGGUUCUCCCCGAAAGCUAUUUAGGUAGCGCCUCGUGAAUUCAUCUUCGGGGGUAGAGCACUGUUUCGGCUAGGGGGUCAUCCCGACUUACCAACCCGAUGCAAACUACGAAUACCGAAGAAUGUUAUCACGGGAGACACACGGCGGGUGCUAACGUCCGUCGUGAAGAGGGAAACAACCCAGACCGCCAGCUAAGGUCCCAAAGUCAUGGUUAAGUGGGAAACGAUGUGGGAAGGCACAGACAGCCAGGAUGUUGGCUUAGAAGCAGCCAUCAUUUAAAGAAAGCGUAAUAGCUCACUGGUCGAGUCGGCCUGCGCGGAAGAUGUAACGGGGCUAAACCAUGCACCGAAGCUGCGGCAGCGACACUAUGUGUUGUUGGGUAGGGGAGCGUUCUGUAAGCCUGCGAAGGUGUGCUGUGAGGGUUGCUGGAGGUAUCAGAAGUGCGAAUGCUGACAUAAGUAACGAUAAAGCGGGUGAAAAGCCCGCUCGCCGGAAGACCAAGGGUUCCUGUCCAACGUUAAUCGGGGCAGGGUGAGUCGACCCCUAAGGCGAGGCCGAAAGGCGUAGUCGAUGGGAAACAGGUUAAUAUUCCUGUACUUGGUGUUACUGCGAAGGGGGGACGGAGAAGGCUAUGUUAGCCGGGCGACGGUUGUCCCGGUUUAAGCAUGUAGGCUGGUUGUCCAGGCAAAUCCGGAUAAUCAAGGCUGAGGUGUGAUGACGAGGCACUACGGUGCUGAAGUAACAAAUGCCCUGCUUCCAGGAAAAGCCUCUAAGCAUCAGGUAACAUCAAAUCGUACCCCAAACCGACACAGGUGGUCAGGUAGAGAAUACCAAGGCGCUUGAGAGAACUCGGGUGAAGGAACUAGGCAAAAUGGUGCCGUAACUUCGGGAGAAGGCACGCUGGUGUGUAGGUGAAGCCCCUGCGGGUGGAGCUGAGACCAGUCGAAGAUACCAGCUGGCUGCAACUGUUUAUUAAAAACACAGCACUGUGCAAACACGAAAGUGGACGUAUACGGUGUGACGCCUGCCCGGUGCCGGAAGGUUAAUUGAUGGGGUUAUCCGUAAGGAGAAGCUCUUGAUCGAAGCCCCGGUAAACGGCGGCCGUAACUAUAACGGUCCUAAGGUAGCGAAAUUCCUUGUCGGGUAAGUUCCGACCUGCACGAAUGGCGUAAUGAUGGCCAGGCUGUCUCCACCCGAGACUCAGUGAAAUUGAACUCGCUGUGAAGAUGCAGUGUACCCGCGGCAAGACGGAAAGACCCCGUGAACCUUUACUAUAGCUUGACACUGAACAUUGAGCCUUGAUGUGUAGGAUAGGUGGGAGGCUUUGAAGCGUGGACGCCAGUCUGCGUGGAGCCAACCUUGAAAUACCACCCUUUAAUGUUUGAUGUUCUAACGUUGGCCCCUUACCGGGGUUGCGGACAGUGUCUGGUGGGUAGUUUGACUGGGGCGGUCUCCUCCCAAAGCGUAACGGAGGAGCACGAAGGUUAGCUAAUCCUGGUCGGACAUCAGGAGGUUAGUGCAAUGGCAUAAGCUAGCUUGACUGCGAGCGUGACGGCGCGAGCAGGUGCGAAAGCAGGUCAUAGUGAUCCGGUGGUUCUGAAUGGAAGGGCCAUCGCUCAACGGAUAAAAGGUACUCCGGGGAUAACAGGCUGAUACCGCCCAAGAGUUCAUAUCGACGGCGGUGUUUGGCACCUCGAUGUCGGCUCAUCACAUCCUGGGGCUGAAGUAGGUCCCAAGGGUAUGGCUGUUCGCCAUUUAAAGUGGUACGCGAGCUGGGUUUAGAACGUCGUGAGACAGUUCGGUCCCUAUCUGCCGUGGGCGCUGGAGAAUUGAGGGGGGCUGCUCCUAGUACGAGAGGACCGGAGUGGACGCAUCACUGGUGUUCGGGUUGUCAUGCCAAUGGCACUGCCCGGUAGCUAAAUGCGGAAGAGAUAAGUGCUGAAAGCAUCUAAGCACGAAACUUGCCCCGAGAUGAGUUCUCCCUGAGACUUUAAGUCUCCUGAAGGAACGUUGAAGACGACGACGUUGAUAGGCCGGGUGUGUAAGCGCAGCGAUGCGUUGAGCUAACCGGUACUAAUGAACCGUGAGGCUUAACCUU